UACGUAUGGAGCAAGCGUUAUCCGGAUUUACUGGGUGUAAAGGGUGCGUAGGUGGCCGGGAAAGUCCGAUGUGAAAUACCGGGGCUUAACCCCGGGGCUGCAUUGGAAACUUUCCGGCUGGAGACCGGGAGGGGCAGGCGGAAUUCCUAGUGUAGCGGUGAAAUGCGUAGAUAUUAGGAAGAACACCGGUGGCGAAGGCGGCCUGCUGGACCGGGACUGACACUGAGGCACGAAAGCGUGGGGAGCAAAC
rnacentral:rRNA from 1 species